CGUAGCUCAGUUGGAUAGAGCGACCGCCUCCUAAGCGGUAGGUCGGGGGUUCAAAUCCCUUCG
rnacentral:tRNA from 1 species